UUAUGGCCAUAUCACGUUAAAACACCGGUUAUCGUACGAUUACCAAUGUUAAGCGACGUGGAGUCUGGUCAGUAUCUGGAUGGGUGACCGCUUGAGAAUAUCAAGUGCUGUAAU